rnacentral:rRNA from 1 species
AGAGUUUGAUCCUGGCUCAGAAUCAACGCUGGCGGCGUGCCUAACACAUGCAAGUCGCACGAGAAAGUCCCCGCAAGGGGAUGAGUAAAGUGGCGUACGGGUGAGUAACACGUGACUAACCUACCUUCGAGUGGGGAAUAACCUCGGGAAACCGGGGCUAAUACCGCAUAACACCGAGAGGUCAAAGCCGAAAGGCGCUUGGAGAGGGGGUCGCGGCUGAUUAGCUAGUUGGUGGGGUAACGGCCCACCAAGGCGACGAUCAGUAGCCGGCCUGAGAGGGCGCACGGCCACACUGGAACUGAAACACGGUCCAGACUCCUACGGGAGGCAGCAGUGGGGAAUUUUGCGCAAUGGGGGAAACCCUGACGCAGCAACGCCGCGUGGAGGAUGAAGUCCCUUGGGACGUAAACUCCUUUCGACCGGGACGAUAAUGACGGUACCGGUGGAAGAAGCCCCGGCUAACUCCGUGCCAGCAGCCGCGGUAAUACGGAGGGGGCUAGCGUUGUUCGGAAUUACUGGGCGUAAAGCGCACGUAGGCGGCUUUGUAAGUUAGAGGUGAAAGCCCGGAGCUCAACUCCGGAAUUGCCUUUAAGACUGCAUCGCUUGAAUCAUGGAGAGGUGAGUGGAAUUCCGAGUGUAGAGGUG